CUAAGCCAUGUUAGGGCUGUUUUGCAAACUCUUCGCAAGGAACGUCUUUAUGCCAACAUGAAAAAGUGCACAUUUGGUGUUGACAAGCUUGUUUUCUUGGGAUUCGUUGUUUCUUACAAGGGUGUGCAUGUUGAUGAAUCUAAAAUUGAAGCAAUUAAAACUUGGCCCCAACCCACCAAUUUGCAACAAGUGCGUAGCUUUCUUGGCCUUGCGGGUUUCUAUCGUCACUUUGUGAAAGACUUUAGCACCAUCGCCGCACCUUUGCAUGCUUUGAGUAAGAAAAAUGCUCCUUUUGUUUGGGGACCUUUGCAAUCAACCGCUUUUGAUGAGCUCAAAUCUUUGCUUACCCAUGCUCCGAUUCUUGCUUUACCCAACUUUGACAAAAAUUUUGAGGUUCAUUGCGAUGCAAGUGGUACCGGAAUUGCUGGAGUUUUGAUGCAAGAAAAGCGAGCUAUUGCAUAUUUUAGUGAAAAACUCUCCGGUGCUCAACUUAACUACCGCUUUUGUAUUCAUAUUUUAGUGCGUGUGUUGCAUGUUUGGGAGCAUUACCUUAGA
rnacentral:rRNA from 1 species